rnacentral:rRNA from 1 species
UGGCGGACGGGUGAGUAACACGUGAGUAACCUGCCCUUCACUUCUGGAUAACUCUCGGAAACGGGGGCUAAUACAGGAUAUGACUCAAGCCUGCAUGGGUUUGGGUGGAAAGAUUUUUUGGUGGGGGAUGGGCUCGCGGCCUAUCAGCUUGAUGGUGGGGUGAUGGCCUACCAUGGCGACGACGGGUAGCCGGCCUGAGAGGGCGAUCGGCCACACUGGGACUGAGACACGGCCCAGACUCCUGCGGGAGGCAGCAGUGGGGAAUAUUGCACAAUGGGCGAAAGCCUGAUGCAGCGACGCCGCGUGAGGGAUGAAGGCCUUCGGGUUGUAAACCUCUUUCGUCAGGGAAGAAGCCUUUCGGGGUGACGGUACCUGGAGAAGAAGCACCGGCUAACUACGUGCCAGCAGCCGCGGUAAU